rnacentral:lncRNA from 1 species
CCCACUUGCUGUCGAAAAUCGGGUAAAUAAUACCCACAUCAAGCAACUUAAGGACUUCUGUUUUAACCACAUCUCUCAUUGUCGGAUUCAGCCUACGCUGCAUUUGCCUUGUGGUUUUCGCAUUAUCCUCCAAAUAUAUCCGAUGCAUGCAAAUCAAAAGGUUAAUCCCCUUUAAGUCUGCAAUCGACCAUCCAAGUGCUUCUUUAUGACUCUUUAGGACCAUAAGUAAUUUUCCUUCUUGAUCAUUGUCGAGCUCAGUCGAGAUAAUUACGGAAAAAGUGUUAUCAGGUCCAAGAAAGGCAUACUUGAGUUCCCUUGGUAAGGGUUUCAGCUCAAGUAUGGGUGCUUGUUUCCGAGAUUGUACAAAUUUUGUCCCUUGUGAGGGCAACUACUCGAAUUCCUCUAACCUCGGUCUCCACCCAUUGACCAUCAUGACAUCCAAAUUAUCUAAAAUAGGUGGAACCACAUCAUCAGCAGUACGUUCGGAACACCAAUCUAUUAAACCAUUGUCGGCCGAUUCAGUAAAUGUUUCUUUUAACAAAUAUUCUUCCAUAAUGGUUUCAACCCAUUCAACUUCUUUACUUUCUUCAUGAUCACUGGGUUGUUUACCUAUACUAAAGACGUUC